CUUGUAAACAGAAAUAAUACAUUGAGCAAACUUGCAAAACUCUCUCAAUUGAUUAACUGUAUGGUUUAACUUUGAAAAAUACAAACACUUGAUAAAAUAGAAACACAUGAAAAAACUGAGUUUUGAGAAGCAAAUUUUUCACUAUAAGUGAUCGAGACAGAAAGUUGGAGCUUCAUAUUAGUCGAAACAGAAGAAAGAAGAUGAUAACUGAAGGUGAAGAAUUGCACAUUUCGAGUUUUGUGAACGCGUCUACAACAAACUGCACAGACUCAGAGCGCAAAAGUUCGACUCCUAAAUACAGUGGCGAAGAUGACUGUCGGCUUCUCCGGCCAAUCGACUGCAGUGAAACAUCAGUGCUUGCGAAAACAAGAUUUGACCGGAGAGAUAUUUUGUCUGGGGAUCACCUUGAAUCAGAAUUAAGAAAAAAAUCCAGAACCAGCUUGACAACGUAAGCCACGUAAUCAACGGAAGCCAAAUUUCAGAGCCAGCUGAAAACGAAACGACUGGGAUUAAAUUCGAAAGAAUUGGAGUUGAAACGCAAAAACUAGGUGCGAAAAGACGCGUCACAAGGCUUGACCGUGAGCUGAGCAAACUUCGAUCCGAGUUUGAUUCUGUGAUUGAGACACAUACAUGCAAAAGCAAAAGUCUUCGGAACGAAAUUCGUCAUUUGCAGAAGAAAUUGCUCGAAGAAAUUGCUUUCAAAGUUGAAAAGUCUGAGCUCAAUUUUGCAGAACUACAAAAAAGGCUGCAAGAAUCCGAGGCGGAAAGAAGACAAGCAGGAUGUGCAACAAGUAAGAAAGCUGCGUUGGCGAUAAGCAAAUCUGAAAAAGAAUCUGCGCCCACAGAAGUCGUUUUCGAAACCGAAAAGAUUCAAAAACAAAUCGAACUGUUGGAGCUUAAAAUUCAAGAAAAAGAAGCUUCGAUUGCUACUGAAUCCCAAAGUUUUCACACUGACGCCCUAGAAACUGACCUGGAAACUGAACGCCAAAAUGUUGAAAAUACCAAAACUGAACAUAUAGACGCGUGUUCAGAAUGGCUCAAAAAUGCUAAGAGAGUUCACAAGAUAUGUAUGAAGACGAAAGGAGGCCAGUCAAAAGAACUGAUAAUUGAAGGAAUUGAGUUUGAAACUGGUCAAUUUAAGCACGGCUUGCUUGGGAACCAGUCUUCACCUGACAAAGAACUGGAAACUAAGAUUAAUGAACUGGAACUAAGACUGCAAAAAACAGAAGCUGAAAAAGAAGCAAUGGCUUCAGCUGCUGAAAGCUUCAAAAAUGGGACAAUGAAGCUACGAAGUACAGCACAUGGGCUUAUUCAAGAAAUCGAUAACUUGGCAGACCAAUUAAGAAAGCAUUUGGAAUGCAACGGAAUGAACCCACCGGCAUACGAAAAUAAUUCGAAAAAACUAAAUCUGACAACAACCUAAAACACAGAAGUGCCGAACUAAAAUAUAAGUACUAAUUAUAAUAACACCACUAGCCAAACAACUCAAUA